CUAAAAAAUCCAUAUAAUGAUAUUAAGAAAAUAGCAAACUUUGAAAACGAUUUAAUGGCCUAUAUUGGAGACUAUGAAAAUUUUAUCCAAAUAACAAACGCCAAACAGAACCCUAAGCAUGGAAUGCAGUACGUGAUCUAAAAGGUCAAGUGUGGUUACGGAUUAGUUUAAACCUACGUGUUGGUUUUUUGGUGAAAUCGGUUCAGCUGAUGAAAAUUUUAACAGCAAUUAUGGAUGAUGGCUACGUAUUUCGACCAAACUUCGUCAGGUGGGAAACGUACAGAAGGCCUGACACCUGAUGGACAGGGACUAUGACCGCCCAUGGACAUAUGUAUCAACGGGGGUCUUACAGGCCAAAUGGGAGACCUUUUAUGAUCACGCACAUAAAAUAGACAACAGGAAUAGAAAGGACUCAGUAUGAUAUGAAUAAUUUCAAAAUAAGAAUCUAAAUAAUAAAUUAAUUAAAUAGUUAAAUAAUUACUCCAGAGGAGUAAAUUAACGUGUUAGUUCUAAGAAAACUUUUAAUCAUGCU